CCACUGGAACCAACCGCGCGUUCGCGCUAUAUGCAUCGUGCGUCCCGGUAACGGGCAGCUAUGGCGAUAAAUCGUAUCGUGAACUAGGUACAGCGGACCCGGGGGCGGUACCCGGCGGCUCCACCACUCGACUCCCGGUUGUCGCGGGGAGGACAUGGGGCCGAAAUAGGAUCGACGUGUAUUGAACGACGACUGCUUUCGCCCGGCCUGAAACUGCCGUUAAAGCGUUCAAAACCAGAGAAAUGCCAACGACAACGAGGCAUUCGCAAUCGCAGCGUAACCUAAAGUCCUCACGGAUUUAGUUACACUGGCCGAAAGCGCGGUCCGGGCCGCACCGGGCAACAGAAGCGGACACC
rnacentral:tmRNA from 1 species